GCCUACGGCCAUAGCACCCUGAAAGCGCCCGAUCUCGUCUGAUCUCGGAAGCUAAGCAGGGACGGGCCUGGUUAGUACCUGGAUGGGAGACCGCCUGGGAAUACCAGGUGUUGUAGGCU
rnacentral:rRNA from 1 species